rnacentral:rRNA from 1 species
GUUGUAUAGUUAAGUGACUAAGCGUACAAGGUGGAUGCCUUGGCAAUCAGAGGCGAAGAAGGACGUGCUAAUCUGCGAAAAGCUUGGAUGAGUCGAUAAGAGGCGUUUAAUCCAAGAUAUCCGAAUGGGGAAACCCAGUAGAUGAAGAAUCUACUAUCACUUACUGAAUUCAUAGGUAAGUGAGGCAAACCGGGAGAACUGAAACAUCUAAGUACCCCGAGGAAAAGAAAUCAACCGAGAUUUCGUCAGUAGCGGCGAGCGAAAGCGAAGGAGCCUGUUAAUGAUAACAGCAGAGAUAGAGGAAUAAGCUGGGAAGCUUAGCGACACAGGGUGAUAGCCCCGUACUCGACAUCCAGGCUAUGGUACUAAGUUAACGAGAAGUAGGGCGGGACACGUGAUAUCCUGUUUGAAGAUGGGGGGACCAUCCUCCAAGGCUAAAUACUCCUGAUUGACCGAUAGUGAACCAGUACUGUGAAGGA